GUAGGUGGCAAGCGUUGUCCGGAAUUAUUGGGCGUAAAGCGCGCGCAGGCGGUUCUUUAAGUCUGAUGUGAAAGCCCACGGCUCAACCGUGGAGGGUCAUUGGAAACUGGAGAACUUGAGUACAGAAGAGGAAAGCGGAAUUCCACGUGUAGCGGUGAAAUGCGUAGAGAUGUGGAGGAACACCAGUGGCGAAGGCGGCUUUUCUGGUCUGUAACUGACGCUGAGGCGCGAAAGCGUGGGGAGCAAACAGGGAUUAGAUACCCUGGUAGUCCACGCCGUAAACGAUGAGUGCUAAGUGUUAGGGGGGUUUCCGCCCCCCUUAGUGCUGCAGCUAACGCAUUAAGCACUCCGCCUGGGGAGUACGGCCGCAAGGCUG
rnacentral:rRNA from 1 species